GACGAGCAUCACAAACGUUAUUCGGAAUUACUGGGCUUAAAGGGUGCGUAGGCGGUGUAGCAAGUCGGGAGUGAAAUCCCGCAGCUCAACUGCGGAAUUGCUUUCGAUACUGCUGCGCUUGAGUGAGAUAGAGGUAAGCGGAACUGAGGGUGGAGCGGUGAAAUGCGUUGAUAUCCUCAGGAACACCGGUGGCGAAGGCGACUCACUGGUCUUUACUGACGCUGAUGCACGAAAGCUAGGGUAGCAAACGGG
rnacentral:rRNA from 1 species